rnacentral:pre_miRNA from 1 species
UUUAAGUGUAGUUGUAUAUAACUUUAAUUAUCUGUUUUAUUUAUAUUUUUUAUAAUUAGUAUUUUUAUUGUUAUUAGAUGAUAAAAUAUGAGUAGUACUUUAUAAAUGAUUUAUAUUUUUUAAUUUUUUUAAAAAAAUUUAAAUAAGACAGAUAAUUAAAGUUGAAUACGAAAAUUUAUGGUUGAGCUAAAA